rnacentral:rRNA from 1 species
UACGUAGGGGGCUAGCGUUGUCCGGAAUCAUUGGGCGUAAAGCGCGUGUAGGCGGUCCGGUAAGUCUGCUGUGAAAGUCGGGGGGCUCAACCCUCGAAUGCCGGUGGAUACUGUCGGGCUAGAGUGCGGAAGAGGCGAGUGGAAUUCCUGGUGUAGCGGUGAAAUGCGCAGAUAUCAGGAGGAACACCUAUUGCGAAGGCAGCUCGCUGGGACGUAACUGACGCUGAGACGCGAAAGCGUGGGGAGCAAACAGG